CGGAGGAAAAGAAACUAACCAGGAUUCCCUCAGUAGCGGCGAGCGAAGCGGGAAAAGCCCAAGAUGAAAAGCCUGCGUGCAGGCGUUGUAUUUGAGCGUCCUCUGGAGUGUCAGUGUGGGUAAGUCGCAUGGAAAUGCGUGCCGUGGAGGGUGAGAGUCCCGUCCAACCCACACAGGACACGCCGUACGAGGUCGUUUCAGGCGAGUCGGGUAGCUUGGGAAUGCUGCUCUAAUUGGUGGUAAAUCUCAUCAAAGGCUAAAUAUGGGCUGGAGACCGAUAGCGAACAAGUACCGUGAGGGAAAGAUCAAAAGCACUUUGAAAAGAGGGUGAAAAGAACCUGAAACCGUCAUGGGGGAAGCGGAUUGCGUUGGAUUGAUGGGCGCUCUGUGUGUUCAGCCCAUUCUUGGGUGCAUUGGCACGAGUGCUUAUCCGCCGUGGGUUUUCGAGGAUUGAAGUUGAAUCCUUGGAGACUGAGGGCUCCCCUCUUUGUAGGGUUGAGGACGGCGGAGCGACGACGCGAUACGACCCGUCUUGAAACACGGACCAAGGAGUCUAGCGCGGAUGCGAGUCAAAGGGUGUGAAAGCCUGUGGGCGCAGUGAAAGCAACUUGUUGCAAAACGAGCAGUUUGAGGCGGCAUAAGAUCGUUGAUCUUAAGACUGACCUGGAGCAUUUGCGCUGGGACCCGAAAGAUGGUGAACUAUGCCGGAGUAGGGCAAAGCCAGAGGAAACUCUGGUGGAGGCUCGUAGCGGUGCUGACGUGCAAAUCGCUCGUCAAACUUGGGUAUAGGGGCGAAAGACUAAUCGAACCAUCUAGUAGCUGGUUCCCUCCGAAGUUUCUCUCAGGAUAGCGGGCCGACUUUGAGUUGUUCUGUGCGGUAAAGCGAAUGAUUAGCGUAUUUGGGGACAUUUAGUCUUCUGGCGAUUCUCAAACUUUAAAUGCGCAGGGGUGUCGCUGCUUGGUUGAGCGGCACCGGUAAAAACGUCGGCCCUGUGGGCCACUUUUGGUAAGCAGAACUGGCGAUACGGGAUGAACCGUAAGCAUGGUUAAGGCGCCAAACUGCUCGCUUACAGAUCCCACAAAAGGUGUUGAUUCAUCGAGACAGCAGGACGGUGGCCAUGGAAGUCGGAAUCCGCCAAGGAGUGUGUAACAACUCACCUGCCGAAUGAAUUAGCCCUGAAAAUGGAUGGCGCUGAAGCGGGUGGCCGACACCAUGCCGUCUGAGCAAUUUUCAGCUUCAGAUGAGUAGGAGGGCGUGGGGGCCGUGUCGAAGCAUGCGUGCAAACGCGUGUGGAACGGCCUCUAGUGCAGAUCUUGGUGGUAGUAGCAAGUAUUCAAGCGAGAUCCUUGAAGGGCGAAGCGGGGAAGGGUUCCACGCGAACAUUGAUUGGGCGUGGGUGAGUCGUUCCUAAGCCGAGUGGCGAUUGCUAAGUAGCGGCGAAAGGGAAGCGGGUUGAAAUUCCCGCACACGGAUGUGGAAGCGGUGACGCGACUGAUGGGGCGAAGACGCUGGCGACGGCGCUGGGCAGAGUUGUCUUUUCUGUUUGACCAGGUUUGUGUGCGCUGUGUGGAAUCCGCUUGUCGGGAGAAACACGCGUGUACGGGCAGAGCGCCGGGGCUUUUCCGGCGUCCAGCUCGCCGUCGACGGCCCUUGAAAAUUUGCCUGCUGAAAUUGAAAUCCACGCCGUGGCGUACCGAUCACCGCAUCAGGUCCCCAAGGUGAACAGCCUCUGCUCAGUAUGAAUAAUGCAGGUAAGGGAAGUCGGCAAAUUAGACCCGUAACUUUGGGAAAAGGGUUGGCUCUAGUGCUGCGUGGGAGUGGUUGCUGGGUGUUUGGGCGCUUUUGCCUCUGGCGGCUUUCUGGCGCGGGACCCGCAAGGGACCUGUUCCUGGCUGCUGAGUGUGAGAGUGCCUCGCCCGGCGACGCCCACAGCAUGCAGCAGACUAGAACUGCAACGGGCAAAGGGAAUCCGACUGUUUAAUUAAAACAAAGCAUUGCGAGGGCCGUGGCCGGUGAUGACGCAAU
rnacentral:rRNA from 1 species